CUAUCCACGUGCCCCCCCUUGUUAUCCUCGUGCUCCCGGCCUUGUAGCGGUGCCGUGGCGGGGCGUGUAGGCGUUGACAUGUAAGCCCCGGUCGUCUACCCUCCGUGCCCUAUGGGGGUCCGUGGACGGGGCAGCACUCACGGUCAUCGGCACUGCCCAUACACUCAGUCCAGCCUGGCGGGGACCUCACCAAUGACCUCCAUGAAAACAGGGUCCCAGACAAGCCAGUUGGUCUGAAGGCCGUGGCGCUGACUGACCACAUCAGGGUGUGCUGGCAGCCCCCCGCACAGCACAAUGUGCUGCUGUGCGGCUACACCAUUGCCUGGGACCAAGGCGUGGCGGACAUCUACUCCAAGAUCGUGGACAGCAAGCAGCACGGUUACAUCAUUGAUAAGCUGGAACCCAACAUGGAGUUUGUGAUAAGCCUGCGAGCCUUCAACAACGUGGGUGACGGGCAACCGGUGUACCAGCAAGUCCGCACCCAGCCAGAGGAGGAGGAGGUGGUGGCACCCACGCUGGACCCGGCGGUGUGGGUGAAGGCCGUGGUGCUGACGCCCUUCACCGUGGUGCUGCAGUGGGCAGACACCAUGCUGAGCCAGAACCAGAUGAUUUAUUUAUUUAUUUAUUUAUUAUUAUUAUUAUUUUUUUUUUUUCAAGGGAGGCAACUCAAGGUAAACAAAUUGAACAACAAUUAAAAGGCCACUAGAUGCCGUUCCAAACACAAGCAUGAAGAAUGGGAGGUCAAAAGAGGUCAGUUUUGGGUAGUGUUGCUGGGCUGCUUCAGGGAGGGCAGUCGUCAGCUGGAAAAUAUAUGUUUUAUCUCAUGUUCUUUGUGCACUGUGUCACAGACUUGCCACUUGCAUCAACACAGCAGCGGAAAAGUUAGUCAUUCAUCAAGGAACUUAUUCACCACCUACACAUUCUUGUUUCCCUGCACACACUCCCUUAUUCACCUCAUAUCCACCUCUCCACAUCCUUAUUCGUAACUUGCAUCCUUCUCCCUCCUACAAACAGCCCCUCAUUCACCUCAUAUCUUCCUCUCUAUAUCCUUAUCCAUUACUUACUCAUACUCUCAUCCCAGCAAACUCCCUUAUUCACCUCACGUCCACCUCACACAUCCUUAUUCAUAACUCAUGCAUCCUCUUUUUCCUGCAAACAGUCCCUUAUACACCUCAUAUCCUCCCUCAUACAUCCUUAUCCUUCACUUACACAUCCUCUUUUUCCUGCAAGCACUCCCUCACACCCUUCCUAUCCUCCUGUCAUUCAUGUCUCAUUUCACAAGCCAGUCCUUCAUCCAGUGACCUUUCUCAUGUUUUCCCUCCAUCCUUGUACCUGACUCCCUGUUAAUACUGACCUUUGACUCCUGCAGUACAACAGCUGCACCACCUUCUCGUCCUCAUCCUCCAGCCGCUACGUCAACGCCACGGAUGUGACCUGCCUCAUUGACAGCCUCAAGCCAUCAACAGUGUGUGAGUUUGCUGUGAAGACCAUCAGGGUGAGGCCACAGUGCUGGAAGCCUUCGUUCUUCUUUCAGUAAAUAUUCACUCAGUCCUGCAACACUUCUCAAGGAAAUCCUGCACAGCUGAAUCCUUGCUGUGAUGAGGCACAGAGAAAUUAUGACUCAUAGGGUUUGGCGUGAGUCCCCCUAUAGCCUGGUGGCCUCCAACAACCUGCUGGUGGCCUGGCCGUCCUGGCCCUCCCUGGCCAGCCGUCCACCACCACCUUCACCCGGCAGCCGCUGCAGCGGAACAAUGGGAGGAUCACAGGCUACGUGAUAUUCCUCACCAUGGACCAAACUGUCGGUGACUGGGUGAUGGGGGAAGUGACGGGGGACUGGCUCACCCUCACCGUCCAUGGACUGACGCCUUCAAGGAAGUAUUUGCACAAGAUGCACUCUCACAAUGUCAAAGGUUUUGGUCCAUUCUCCUCCGUGGAAAGCUUCACGACUCUUCCAGCUGUUGACAAGAGCAUCGGUGAGCCCCCUGGCUGGUGUGUGGAGCGAGAGGCCUGAUUGUGCUGGUGAUCGCUGGCGUGGCAGGAGCCAUGACCAGCUGGGGGCCUUCUUGGCCACCACACUGUACUGCCGCGGGUCAAGGCGGAGCCCAGGCCAAGCAUUGUUGUUGGCGGCAGCUGCAGUGAGAGCAACAAGCCUGGCGUCCAGCCUCCAGACCUGUGGAUCCAUCACGGCCACUUGGAGCUGAAGAACUUUGACAAGGGUGAGCGCAGCAACUCCCCCAACCACGCCUCCAUCAUCCAGCACACAGGAGUCGCGUCACAUCACAAUGGGACCGAAAAAGGACGAGAAGGGACAAGACAAGAAGAAAAGGUCUUCUGCUGCCGCUGCUGCCUCUCCUGAUGAUGAUGAGCAACAAGAAGACACUCAAGAACAACCUGCCAAGAAAGUGAAGGGACGAUCCAAGAAGAGGUCAUUGUCUGCUACCGGGGAGACACCCCCUCCUCCAGCCCUCUUGCGUCACCAAUCCACUUGGACACAGGAGCCCCAACCUGGUCAUGAUGAUGCUGGGGUGUGUCUUUUGUUCAAAAUCGGGAGCAAAUUCUUGGAGGAGAUUUGAAACUCGUAGUAGAUCCGGAGUUAUCGGUGUAGUUCGUCGUACAUUGUAGUACUUCGUACUUACAAAUCGGGACAGUUGGUGUGGUUCGUGAUACUUCGUAGUACUUCUGCUCCAAAACUCGGCGUACUUCGGGAGAAAAUCAGGGUGAAAUCGUAGCACAUCGUAGUACGUCGUAGCACUUCGGGAAAUAAUUCGGUGUACUUCGGGGAAUAUGCCCUCGAGGUCGACCGAACGCCUCGAGAUGAAAAGAUAAACAAAUUUUCGUAGUGAUUUGGGGAAAACGCUGUCUCCCGAGGUACUACGAUUUUUUUGUGAUUCGGCGGUAGUUUGGUCGCUGCUCUCUGUAUUCUUUCCAACUUUCUAAUUUCUUUCUUCAAUGUAGGUGACCACACUAACGCUGCAUAUUCCAGUCUUGGACGUAUCAUCGAUGUUAUUAGUUUCUUCACCAUUUCUUCGUCUAGAUAUGUAAAUACUGCUUUUAUGUUUCUAAGAAGAUUGUAUGUUUCCCCAGUUAUCCGAUUUAUAUGCUUUCCAAAGGAUAACUUGUCUGUUAUUGUCACUCCCAGAUCCUUUUUCUUCUGUUUUUUUAUGAUUCUUUCGUUACUCAGAGAGUAGUUCCCCGAUAUUCGUCUGCUGCUCUUACCAAACUCCAUCACACUACACUUCUCUGUAUUGAAUGUCAUUUCCCAUUUGCGUGACCAUUCGCUUAUUCUAUCGAAAUCCUGACUCAAG